AUGCAGAGGUACGCGGGCGCCGGCAACAGCAACAGCUCUGGGUUUAGCGGCGGCCCCGCGUCGGCCGGCGGCAGGGACAGCUCCAGGCUCGAUGUCUCGCCCUACGCCCCGCCCAAUUACCCCCUGAACCCGAGGCGACAACAACAGCUUGCUCCGUACAGGCUAAAGUGUGACAGGGAACCACUUAAUAACAAGCUUGGACCACCUGAGUUCUAUCCUCAAACACCAAACUGUCCUGAAGAGACCUUAACCAAAGAAUAUGUACAGUCUGGGUACAAGGAGACUGUUGAAGGAAUUGAGGAAGCAAGAGAGAUCGUACUCAGUCAUAUCUCAUACUUCUGCAAGCCAGAUAUCGUGGGAAAAUGCAAGGAGGCACUAAAGAAACGGUUAAGGGCUAUUAAUGAAUCUCGUGCUCAAAAGAGAAAGGCUGGCCAAGUUUAUGGAGUUCCUCUUUCUGGAUCACUGUUGAUAAAACCUGGAGUUUAUCCGGAGCAAAGACCAUGUAAUGAGGACUCCCGCAGAAAAUGGGCUGAGGCCCUUGCCCAGCCAAACAAGCGACUGCGUUUGUUAUCUGAGCACGUUCCUCAUGGUUAUCGUAGGAAAUCACUUUUUGAUGUUCUUACUCGAUGCAAUGUUCCAUUACUAAGGGCAACAUGGUUUGUGAAAGUUACAUACCUAAAUCAGGUUCGACCAACAUCCAGCAGUAUCUCAACUGGUGCUUCUGAUAAUCAACGAUCUAACCAGUGGACAAAGGAUGUUGUUGAAUAUUUGCAACAGCUUCUGGACGAAUUUAAUCUAAAAGAGGCACAUCCGUCUUUUAAAGAACAGCCGUCCGCAGGGCUUAUUUCUGGAGCAACUCAAGUAAAAUUGAAACAUGAAGCACCCUCAGGUGGAGACACUGAAGAGCCCUUGGUGCACUUCAAAUGGUGGUAUAUGGUUCGUCUUGUCCAAUGGCAUCUCACAGAAGAAUUGCUAGUUCCCUCGGUACUUAUUGAAUGGUUAUGUUACCAACUUCAGGAGAGAGAUUCAGUUGAGGCCUUGGAGCUUCUUUUGCCUAUUGUACUGGGCUUGGUUGAGACCAUCACUCUCUCACAAACAUAUGUGCGGAUGUUCGUGGAAAUUCUGGUCAGACGUCUGAGUGAUGCUUCUGCUGUUGAUAAUCCGAAAAGGUCAUCUAUCUCUUCUGUUAUAGCUGAGUUACUGCGAUACAUGGUACUUGCGGUGCCAGAUACAUUUGUUUCUUUGGACUGCUUUCCUCUUCCUUCAUUUGUGGCCCCUGAUGUAUAUGGUAGAGGUGCUUUGCUGAAGAUUACUGGUGGUGGUGAAAUGUCUAGUUCUAAGAGGCGGGAUGUGUACCGGUAUCUGUCCUGUGGUUAUGCUGUCUGUUCAAUUCAGAGACGAGCAUCUGAUCUGGCGACUCUUGCCAGUCCUAAUGUUCAUGCACGUGGUGCAGCUAAAGUGGUACAGGCUUUGGACAAGGCUCUUGUCACAGGAAAUUUGACAAUGGCGUAUUCUUCACUCUUUAAUGAUCUAUCUGAUGCAUUAAUGGAAGAGAGGUGGAUUAAAGAAGUCAGCCCUUGCUUGCAGUCUUCUCUAAUGUGGAUUGGGACUGUUGAGUUAUCCCUAAUCUGUUCCAUAUUUUUUCUUUGUGAAUGGGCAACAUGUGAUUAUCGUGAUUGCCGUACAUCUCCCAGUCAGAAUGUAAAAUUUACAGGAAGAAGAGAUAUAUCUCAGAUACAUCUGGCGGUGUCUAUCUUGAAAAGCAAAAUGAGCGAGAUGAAUAAAUUGUCUCGGUCUAAGAGUAGCAGUCGCAUUGCAAUGAAUAAUAUCGGUAAAGGUUCUUCGCUGAAUGAUGCUUCAGUGGCUGCAACUAAAGUGGGUGAUUCUUCUGGAUUGAGAAGUAAUGGAAAAAAUGAGGAGGAGAAGAAGGAAAGGAAGGAUAUCUUUGAAAGUCCUGGUCCAUUGCAUGACAUUAUUGUGUGUUGGCUGGAUCAACAUGAGGUUAGCAGUGCUGCAGGUUUUAAACGUGUGGAUGUUCUCAUCAUAGAGCUUAUUCGCAGCGGUGUAUUUUAUCCUCAAGCUUAUGUAAGGCAGCUAAUUAUUAGUGGAGUAACCGAUAAGAAUGGUACUCUGCUAGAUACGGAAAGAAAAAGGAGGCACCACAGAAUUUUAAAGCAGCUUCCUGGGUCAUCUUUAUUUGAUAUUCUCGAGGAAGAUGUAGUUGCUGAAGAGCAACAAUUGCAUGAGGUGAUGUCAACAUAUUCCAGUGAGCGACGCCUUGUGCUUUCUGAACUUUUGAGUGGUCAGUCAUUUGAUGCAAACAACAGGGCUGAGUAUACUUCAAGUUCCUACCUCCGGAUUCCAUCAGGAGGUACUAAUCUCGGUGGUGUGCCUGAACAAGUAGAAGAUGUGAAAGUUCUGGUGUCGAGCCUGUUGUGUUUUAUAUAUCCUCACUCGGCAGAAUCAGAACAAAAUGAAACUAAAAUGAACUUUCAAGGAUCGUCUACUUCAACACUGACACAAGUUGAUACCGGAGAAGCAAAAAAUGGCUGUGAGGAUUGUAUGAGGAUUAAUGGACAAAAGUUGGACGAGAGAACCUCUCCUUUCUUCCCAUUGAUUCAAUCAGACGAGGAAGAUGUUUGGUGGGUGAGGAAAGGGACAGAGCUACAGGAAUCUUUUAAGGCUGAACCUGCACUGAAGUCUAUUAAACAAACUUCUAGAGGUAGAGCUAAAGUGGUUCGCAAAACACAGAAUCUCGCACAGCUUGCGACUGCUAAAAUUGAAGGCAGUCAGGGGGAGGCAUCUACAAGUCAUCUUUGCGAGAGCAAGCUGAGCUGUCCUCACCAUAAACCUAGCACUGAUGGUGACAAUGGCAAAGAUGCUGAUCACAUGAGGAUGGCAAAUCUGGCUGAAGUUGGGAAGUCAUUGAAGAAACUUAGAUUGCUUGAAAGGCGCUCCAUCUCUGUGUGGUUGUUGAAAUCAGUAAGGCAACUUGUUGAAGGAAAUGAAACGACAGCUUGCAAAGCUAGCAAUUCCAUAAGCUCCUUUUCCUCUCAGCCUGAUGACAAAACUGCCUCCAAAUGGAGGCUGGGCGAUGAAGAACUGAUGUCAAUUCUCUAUAUACUGGACACAUGCUGUGAUUUAGCCUCUGCUACAAGGUUCCUUGUAUGGUUGCUAGCAAAAAUUCGGGGAGGAAUGGGUACGCUUGGUCAAGUUGGGAGAAGUGCGGCACAUAUGAAGAACAGAGAUAACCAAGUUUGUCAGGUCGGUGAGGCAUUUGUGUUCUCAUCCUUGCUUAGGUACGAGAACAUACUUCUUGCAACUGAUCUCUUGCCUGAAGUCCUCAAUGCUUCAACGAACAGAAAUUUUGUGUUAGGAACUGCAAGGCAUCCUGCACCAGCAGCUUUUCCUUAUACCCGGUAUUUUUUGAGGAAAUAUAGGGAUGUGGCUAGCGUGGUUAGGUGGGAGAAAAAUUUUAGGACCACAUGUGACCAGCGACUGCUAGCUGAUCUUGAUAAUGGUCGGUCGAUUGAUGGUGAUUUUGUUUCCUCUUCGGGAGUCUUAGGAGGUGAAGAGAUUGAUGAUCAAGUUCGUCAAAAGCUUAACGGAAGGGGUUCAAGAAUUAUUCCAAAUAUGAAGGAGAUAGUGCAGCGGCAAGCUGAAGAUAUUCAACGCAAUUUGAAGGAAAAGAAAAUUCCUGCAGCACCCAAGAGUCCCUCUUUUGAGAAGGAAGACAGUUAUCAAAUUGCACAUGACACUGUUUUGGGCUUAGUAGAAUGUAUCAGGCAAAACGGAGGAGCAACUCCAGAUGGAGACCCUUCAGCAGUUGCUUCUGCUGUUUCUGCAGUUGUUGUGAAUGCCGGGCAUGUCAUAGCUAAACAUUUGGAUUUUGCAGGGGGUAACUAUCAUGGAGUUGCUUCUAUUGGUAAUUCAUUAAGCUUUGUUCGGCACACUUUGCACAUCCACAUAAAUUCUCUCUGCUUACUGAAAGAAGCUCUUGGGGAUCGCUUCAGUCGGGUUUUUGAAGUAGCUCUGGCUGUUGAAGCUUCUUCAGCUGUUACAGCAGCUUUUGCUCCUCCUAAGGUCCAGCGCAAUCAGUUUCAACCAUCUUCUGAGACUCAUGAUGCCUAUGGAAAUCAUACAAACGAACCUCUUAGUACCUCAGGGAAAGGCUUUGUUGGGAGGGCUGGAAAAGUAGCCGCUGCUAUCUCUGCACUUGUUGUGGGUGCUGUUGUUCAUGGAGCUGUGAGUCUUGAGCGGAUGACUGCUGUCCUGAAAAUAAAAGAUGGCCUGGAAAUUCAGCAGGUACUAAGAGGUUUGAGACCUAGCUCUAAUGGUGCGUCCCGUUCUGCUGUAACCUUUAAGAUGGAUAAUUCAAUAGAGGUUUUGGUUCACUGGUUUAGGAUUCUAUUGGGGAACUGUAGAACCGUCUAUGAUGGGCUUAUUGCAGACAUUCUUGGCGAGUCCUAUGUUCUUGCACUAUCGAGAUUGCAGCAGAAGCUUCCUUUGAGUGUGGUAUUUCCUCCAGCAUAUUCAGUUUUUGCAAUAGUACGUUGGAGGCAGUAUAUCCUUAGCCGAGAAGACAUGCAAGUUUACCAGUCUAUUGCAAAUGCAAUAAAUGACAUCACCAGGCAUCAACCUUUUCGAGAUAUUUGCUUUCGUAAUACACAUCAGCUGUAUGAUCUUCUUGCUGCUGAUGUUGGUGAUUCGGAGUUUGCUGCAAUGCUUGAAACACAUUGCUCUGACAAGAAUGUGAGGCAGCUAUUCAUGCCUCUCCGUGGCCGUCUUUUUCUGAAUGCCCUUGUUGAUUGUAAAACGCCAGCAGUUAUUCAGGUGGAUGGUUCGGAACCUGGUGAGGCAAAAGAGAAUGAGUUAAAACUCCUCUCGGAGAGGCUUGUUCAGUCCCUAGAUACCCUCCAACCUGCAAAGUUCCAUUGGCAAUGGGUUGAGUUGAGGCUUCUUUUAGAUGAACAGGCUCUUGCAGAAAAACUUGAUAAAGCUGAAAAAAGUAAGAUACCCAUGCCGAUACUGAUGACACUUGCAGACGGGCUUCGGAAGCUGUCCCCUAAUUCUGAGAGCUUUACACUAUCUGAAAGCGAGAAAGGGUUUACUGAAAUCAUCCUGUCGAGAUUAGUUGCCAGACCUGAUGCUGCUCCUCUCUACUCUGAAGUUGUCCACCUUCUUGGGAAGCUACAGGAGUCACUUGUCGUGGAUGUCAAGUGGAUCCUUCAAGGGCAAGAUGCUGUUCUGGGACGCAAGUCCACAAGACAGCAGCUUCUUACUAUUGCUACACGAAGAGGUGUUCCAAUAAAGGCACAGGUUUGGAAACCAUGGGGAUGGUCCAGCUUGCUCACUGAUGUAAUGGCUAACAGAAGUGCCAAGAGGAAAUUGGAAGCCGCUCCGAUCGAGGAAGGAGAAGUUGUGGAUGACCCUGCCGAUGCCAAAAGGCCAAGCAAAAGUACCCCAAGUAAUAUCGAUAGAAGCGUUGAAGCCACCAGAUCUAAUAUAAAUAAAUAUGUAACUGAGAAGGCCUUUGCUGAAUUAAUGUUGCCAUGCAUCGACAGGAGUUCGCCUGAAUUUCGCAGUAUAUUUGCUGGUGAAUUAAUCAAACAGAUGGGAACUGUCAGUGAACACAUCAAAGCAAUAUCACGAAAUGGUGCCAAACAUGUUGGUUUAGUUCCUUCAGGAAAUGAUGUUUCAUCGAACAAAUCCAGUGGUCGUAAAGGAAUUCGAGGUGGAAGUCCAAAUAUUGGCAGGCGAGUCACGGUUGGUAAUGAUCCAACUCCUCCUUCAGCAUCUGCUCUGCAGGCAAUAGUGUGGCUGCGCCUCCAAUUUAUCAUCAGGCUGCUUCAAGUAAUCCUGGCAGAUAGGGGCAUGAGGCAUACACUUGCUCCUGCGAUACUAAGCCUGCUUGCGGCACGCAUAAUCUAUGAAGAUGCAGAUUCGCCCCUUCCUCCUGCCAGUUUGAUUGCCUCGAGACGGGAAGUGGACUCUUUGCUGGAACCUCCCAUGGAUGUCCUGCUUGAUCGCCCAAGCGAGAGUCUUUUCGAGAGGCUUUUAUGUGUUUUCCAUGCGCUGCUUGGCAAUUGCAAACCAAGUUGGAUGAAGUCGAAGCCAGUUUCCAAGCCAACCGUCAGAGCCUCACGAGAUAUCCCUGCAUUUGAUAAUGAAGCGGCUGUGGCCUUGCAGUCUGCGUUGGACCAUAUGGAGUUGCCUGGAGCAAUCAGGCGAAGGAUCCAGGCGGCGAUGCCGAUUCUCCCAGCAGCUCGGCACCCUAGUAUACAAUGCCAGCCUCCCCAGCUGUCCCUGGCUGCACUGUCACCACUCCAGAGCACUCCAUCUACAUCAGGUCCUCAACAGAAAAGCACUUCUCACAGUUGGGUUCCCACCAACAUCUCAGGCAGAAGCAAGGCGGUGUUGCCUCCCCAAGACCCCGAGAUGGAGGUAGACCCCUGGACCUUGCUUGAGGACGGCACCAGCUGCCCCUCCACAUCAUCAGGAAGCAACAGCGCCAGCGGCAUCGCCCCCGACCACUCCAACCUGAAGGCGUGCAGCUGGCUCAAGGGCGCGGUCAGGGUGCGGAGGACGGAGCUGACAUACAUCGGGUCUCUGGACGACGACAGCUGA
rnacentral:rRNA from 1 species